UCUUGGAGCAUCUGGGAGAAAGAC
rnacentral:piRNA from 1 species